AUUUCAAGCAGUCUGAAAACACAAAAUUUGCCUUCAGUGAAUAUGCUCAGAAGUCACUAGAAAAUUCAGAUUUUCAUGAAAAGAGAAAGAGAAGAGAAAAGAGAAGAAAAAGCAUGCUCAUCAUUAGGAUCCAGGAAAGAAAAUUAAACUAUUCUGCAUUUGAGGAUUUGUGCUUCUGGC
rnacentral:lncRNA from 1 species